AUGAACGCUGGCGGCGUGCCUAAUACAUGCAAGUAGAACGCUGAAGGAGGAGCUUGCUCUUCUGGAUGAGUUGCGAACGGGUGAGUAACGCGUAGGUAACCUGCCUGGUAGCGGGGGAUAACUAUUGGAAACGAUAGCUAAUACCGCAUGACAACAGUUAUUGCAUGAUAACUGUUUAAAAGGGGCAACUGCUCCACUACCAGAUGGACCUGCGUUGUAUUAGCUAGUUGGUGAGGUAACGGCUCACCAAGGCGACGAUACAUAGCCGACCUGAGAGGGUGAUCGGCCACACUGGGACUGAGACACGGCCCAGACUCCUACGGGAGGCAGCAGUAGGGAAUCUUCGGCAAUGGACGGAAGUCUGACCGGGCAACGCCGCGUGAGUGAAGAAGGUUUUCGGAUCGUAAAGCUCUGUUGUAAGAGAAGAACGAGUGUGAGAGUGGAAAGUUCACACUGUGACGGUAUCUUACCAGAAAGGGACGGCUAACUACGUG
rnacentral:rRNA from 1 species